GAUGAACGCUGGCGGCGUGCCUAAUACAUGCAAGUCGAGCGAACCACUUCGGUGGUGAGCGGCGAACGGGUGAGUAACACGUAGGUGAUCUGCCCAUCAGACGGGGACAACGAUUGGAAACGAUCGCUAAUACCGGAUAGGACGAAAGUUUAAAGGUGCUUCUGGCACCGCUGAUGGAUGAGCCUGCGGCGCAUUAGCUAGUUGGUAGGGUAAAGGCCUACCAAGGCGACGAUGCGUAGCCGACCUGAGAGGGUGAACGGCCACACUGGGACUGAGACACGGCCCAGACUCCUACGGGAGGCAGCAGUAGGGAAUCUUCGGCAAGUGGGCGAAAGCCUGACCGAGCAACGCCGCGUGAAUGAUGAAGGCC
rnacentral:rRNA from 1 species